AACCUUUACACUGCACGACAGUGCGAUAAGGGGACUCCGAGUGCGAGGGCAUACAGUCCUCGCUUUUCUGUACCGUAGGGUGGUACAGGAACAAGUGCUGGGCAAGACCGGUGCCAGCCGCCGCGGUAAUACCGGCAGCACGAGUGAUGGCCGAUAUUAUUGGGCCUAAAGCGUCCGUAGCUGGCCGGCCAAGUCCGUUGGGAAAUCCACCCGCUUAACGGGUGGGCGUCCGGCGGAAACUGUCCGGCUUGGAGCCGGAGGACCUGAGGGGUACGUCCGGGGUAGGAGUGAAAUCCUGUAAUCCUGGACGGACCGCCGGUGGCGAAAGCGCCUCAGGAAGACGGACUCGACAGUGAGGGACGAAAGCUAGGGUCUCGAACCGGAUUAGAUACCCGGGUAGUCCUAGCUGUAAACAAUGUCCGCUAGGUGUGGCGCAGGCUACGAGCCUGCGCUGUGCCGUAGGGAAGCCGUGAAGCGGCCCGCCUGGGAAGUACGUCUGCAAGGAUGAAACUUAG
rnacentral:rRNA from 1 species